rnacentral:rRNA from 1 species
UACGAAGGGUGCAAGCGUUACUCGGAAUUACUGGGCGUAAAGCGUGCGUAGGUGGUGAGUUAAGUCUGAUGUGAAAUCCCCGGGCUCAACCUGGGAAUGGCAUUGGAUACUGGCUCGCUAGAGUGCGGUAGAGGGUGGUGGAAUUCCCGGUGUAGCAGUGAAAUGCGUAGAGAUCGGGAGGAACAUCUGUGGCGAAGGCGGCGAUCUGGGUCGAUACUGACGCUGAGGUGCGAAAGCGUGGGGAGCAAACAGG